rnacentral:lncRNA from 1 species
GGGGAGACAGUCACCACCUUCAGGACCUGCACUCUGACUUGGAAAGCUCAAUGAACCAACUGGGCUAUUUCAACAUCUUCUAUAUUUUGUUUAUAACUCUGCCUCAUUCCAGGGUGGAUUUGAGGUGGUUUGGUUUGAUUCGUGAACAUUUCCCAUGCCAAUUAGAAGACAUUAUGUUAGGGGGGGUCCCCAAUUCAGCCUCAUCUCCCUCAUCAACUAGGAAAUGUUAUAGUAAUACCCAAAUAUACUUUCAUCUAUGUUUUGUAAUAGACCCCACU